rnacentral:snRNA from 1 species
GUGUUCACUUCGACAGCACAUAUACUAAAAUUGGAAUGAUACAGAGAAGAUAGUACGGCUCCUGCGCAAGGAUGACACACAAAUUCAUUAAGCAUUCCAUAUUUUU